rnacentral:lncRNA from 1 species
UCCAAUUUCCCAUUUGGUGUUGAGGUCCGUAGCCUUGCUCUCCAAUUUGUCACAAUGGAAGCCUUUCUGAGGUUGGUUUUGCUGUGCCUUUUAAUUUGCCUAAGCUGGGCUGAUGAUGAACCAGUGACUGUGGACUGUAAUCUUCUCAUGUUCCGGGUGUCGGUGAAAAAAAAUUUGUUUGGUGCUUGCAGUUCCUUGAAAGCUGAAGAACUGAUUCUUGGGACGGGUUGUCGAGUUAAUGGAGAGAAGCCAAAUAUAUUUGAGCUACACUAUUCUGUUACAGAGUGUGGGAUUCAGUUUGAGGCUUUUGAAACACAUGUGAUCUAUAAAAGUAAGCUCUAUUAUACUCCCGUGUGUGCCAUGUUUGGUCAUGCAUCAUGUGAAUUCCCCUUGACCUGCACAGUGUUUAGGACAACAAGCUCACGGAAGAUGGAGGAGGAGCCUGUUGCUAAUCUGCCAUCUCGGGACCACAAAGAAUCUCGUGCCCUGAGAAUGCAGGCUAGUGAAUAUGGCCCCAUCCAUUGGAGUCGAGAACUCUGUGGCAUCCUGGGGAGAUCAGGAAAAAUGUUCUCUUCAGAACAAAAGACUGACUCUUGGAGCCGGUUCUUUGUCCCUGCCUUCACUCUGAGCUCUGUACUUUGCCACCUUUUUUGCCAUGGAGAUUUUGUACCAACUGCAUCCUAAGAUAUCACCAAGGAGGCAGCCACAAGAUGGCCAAUGCCACUAUUGUGUGAGCCUCACAACCCUGAUUCCAAACAUUGGGGAGUUGGCAUUGUUUAAGCUUGCCUUGGUGAGAUCCUCACUGUGUUUUUAAAAUUCAUUUAAAGGAUAAACACGCCCAAUUCUGUCCUUAUUUUAUGAUGUCUGUACACAAGGGGGCUAUGUGCAUUUUAAAUGAAGACUUGUAUGUGCAUAUAAUACACAGAUCAUAUGUAUGUUAUAAUUAUUUGCUAAUUUAAUAAAUCAAAUGCAUAUAUCUCA